UUCUGGUUGAUCCUGCCAGACCUGACUGCUAUCGGAUUGAUACUAAGCCAUGCGAGUCGUUGUAGCAAUACAAGGCAUACGGCUCAGUAACGCGUAGUCAACCUAACCUAUGGACGGGAAUAACCUCGGGAAACUGAGAAUAAUGCCCGAUAGAACAUUAUGCCUGGAAUGGUUUAUGUUCCAAAUGAUUUAUCGCCAUAGGAUGGGACUGCGGCCUAUCAGUUUGUUGGUGAGGUAAUGGCCCACCAAGACUAUUACAGGUACGGGCUCUGAGAGGAGUAGCCCGGAGAUGGGUACUGAGACACGGACCCAGGCCCUAUGGGGCGCAGCAGGCGAGAAAACUUUGCAAUGUGCGAAAGCACGACAAGGUUAAUCCGAGUGAUUUCUGCUAAAGAGAUCUUUUGUUAGUCCUAGAAACACUAACGAAUAAGGGGUGGGCAAGUUCUGGUGUCAGCCGCCGCGGUAAAACCAGCACCUCAAGUGGUCAGGAUGAUUAUUGGGCCUAAAGCAUCCGUAGCCGGCUCUGUAAGUUUUCGGUUAAAUCUGUACGCUCAACGUACAGGCUGCCGGGAAUACUGCAGAACUAGGGAGUGGGAGAGGUAGACGGUACUCGGUAGGAAGUGGUAAAAUGCUUUGAUCUAUCGAUGACCACCUGUGGCGAAGGCGGUCUACCAGAACACGUCCGACGGUGAGGGAUGAAAGCUGGGGGAGCAAACCGGAUUAGAUACCCGGGUAGUCCCAGCUGUAAACUAUGCAAACUCAGUGAUGCAUUGGCUUGUGGCCAAUGCAGUGCUGCAGGGAAGCCGUUAAGUUUGCCGCCUGGGAAGUACGUACGCAAGUAUGAAACUUAAAGGAAUUGGCGGGGGAGCACCACAAGGGGUGAAGCCUGCGGUUCAAUUGGAUUCAACGCCGG
rnacentral:rRNA from 1 species